rnacentral:rRNA from 1 species
UACGAAGGGGGCUAGCGUUGUUCGGAAUCACUGGGCGGAAAGCGCACGCAGGCGGAUCGAUAAGUCGGGGGUGAAAGGCCGGGGCUCAACCUCGGAAUUGCCUUCGAUACUGUCGGUCUCGAUUCCGGGAGAGGUGAGUGGAAUUCCUAGUGUAGAGGUGAAAUUCGUAGAUAUUAGGAAGAACACCAGUGGCGAAGGCGGCUCACUGGCCCGGUACUGACGCCCAGGUGCGAAAGCGUGGGGAGCAAACAGG